AUUGAACGCUGGCGGCAGGCUUAACACAUGCAAGUCGAACGAGUGGCGGACGGGUGAGUAAUGUAUGGGGAUCUGCCUGAUGGAGGGGGAUAACUACUGGAAACGGUAGCUAAUACCGCAUACCAUCAGAUGAACCCAUAUGGGAUUAGCUUGUAGGUGAGGUAACGGCUCACCUAGGCGACGAUCCCUAGCUGGUCUGAGAGGAUGAACAGCCACACUGGGACUGAGACACGGCCCAGACUCCACGGGGAGGAAGCAGUGGGGAAUAUUGCACAAGGGGCGCAAGCCUAAUGCAGCCAUGCCGCGUGUAUGAAGAAGGCCUUCGGGUUGUAAAGUUCUUUCGGUAGCGAGGCGUUAACUACAGAAGAAGCACCGGCUAACUCCGUGCCAGCAGCCGCGGUAAUAC
rnacentral:rRNA from 1 species